UCAUUGAGCGCAGCGUUGAUG
rnacentral:miRNA from 2 species